UGUCAUCUCUAACACACGGAAGAACCUCCACAUAAACCCUGAAAUUGUUCAGUAUUCUCUCUCAAACAGCCGUUUGAGUCACCUCAAAUGUAGCAGAGGGCCAGGUUAAAACGGUCCGAUGCACUUCACUUGCAAUGCAGAUCAUCAUUUCUGGACAGCUUUCUACUUACU